rnacentral:rRNA from 1 species
GACGAACGCUGGCGGCGUGCCUAAUACAUGCAAGUCGAACGCAGUGGGGACGGGUGAGUAACACGUGGGUAACCUCCCAUCAGAGGGGAUAACACUUGGACACAGGUGCUAAACCGAUAUUGGUGGAUGGACCCGCGGUGCAUUAGCUAGUUGGGGGGGUAACGGCUCACCAAGGCCACGAUGCAUAGCGGACCGGGGAGGGGGACCGGCCACACUGGGACGGAGACACGGCCAAGACUCCUACGGGAGGCAGCAGUAGGGAAUUUUCGGCAAUGGACGAAAGUCUGACCGAGCAACGCCGGAUGGGUGAAGAAGGUUUUCGGAUCGUAAAACUCUGUUGUUAGAGAAGCGGUAUCUAACCAGAAAGCCACGGCUAACUACGUGCCAGCAGCCGCGGUAAUUC